CUGAUACAAUGAUGAGAGCAUAGUUCAACUGACUUAACCAUGAAGAUUAUCUGCGCAGUCUUUCGCUCCUAUCUGAUGUAUCAC
ensembl:snoRNA